GUUCUCCCAGUACGGUCGGAAAUCGUACGUAGCGUGUAAAGGCAAAAGAGAGCUUGAUUGCAAGACAGACAGGUCUGGCAAGGAUCAACAUCGUACUGAGACAUCCGGUGGUGCUGCGUGGAAGGGCCAUCGCUCAACGGAUAAAAGCUACCCUGUGGAUAACAGGCUUAGCUCCCCCAAGAGUCCACAUCGACGGGGAGGUUUGGCACCUCGAUGUCGGCUCAUCACCUCCUGGGGCUGUAGUAGGUCCCAAGGGUUGGGCUGUUCGCCCAUUAAAGUGGUACGCGCGCUGGGUUCAGAACGUCGUGCGACAGUUCGGUCCCUUUCCGUCGCAGGCGUAGGCAACUUGGGAAGCCCUGUCCUUAGUACGAGAGGCCCGGGAUGGACGUACCUCUGGUGUCCCAGUUGUCCUGCCAAGGGGUCCGCCAGGUGGCCACGGUGCAGAC
rnacentral:rRNA from 1 species